rnacentral:rRNA from 1 species
UACAGAGGGUGCGAGCGUUAAUCGGAAUUACUGGGCGUAAAGCGCACGUAGGUGGCAACGUAAGUCGGGUGUGAAAGCCCCGGGCUCAACCUGGGAAUUGCAUUCGAGACUGCAUUGCUGGAGUACGGAAGAGGAGGGCGGAAUUCCCGGUGUAGCGGUGAAAUGCGUAGAUAUCGGGAGGAACAUCAGUGGCGAAGGCGGCCCUCUGGUCCAGUACUGACACUCAAGUGCGAAAGCGUGGGGAGCAAACAGG